GGAUUAGAUACCCUGGUAGUCCUAGCCGUAAACGUUGUCAACUCGGUGAUGGGUGAGUCGAUCCGCUCAUUGCCUAAGCUAACGCGAUAAGUUGACCGCCUGGGGAGUAUGCGCGCAAGCGUGAAACUCAAAGGAAUUGACGGGGGCCCGCACAAGCGGUGGAGCAUGUGGUUUAAUUCGAUAAUAAGCGAGGAACCUUACCUGGGCUUGACAUCCACUGGACACCCCCUGAAAGGGGGGCUCUCUUCGGAGCUGGUGGACAGGUGCUGCAUGGCUGUCGUCAGCUCGUGUCG
rnacentral:rRNA from 1 species